rnacentral:rRNA from 1 species
AUUGAACGCUGGCGGCAUGCCUUACACAUGCAAGUCGAACGGCAGCACGGGUGCUUGCACCUGGUGGCGCGUGGCGCAUGGGUGAGUAAUACAUCGGCACAUGUCCUGCAGUGGGGGAUAGCCCGGCGAAAGCCGGAUUAAUACCGCAUACGAUCUACGGAUGAAAGCGGGGGACCUUCGGGCCUCGCGCUAAAGGGUUGGCCGAUGGCUGCUUAGCUAGUUGGUGGGGUAAAGGCCUACCAAGGCGACGAUCAGUAGCUGGUCUGAGAGGACGACCAGCCACACUGGGACUGAGACACGGCCCAGACUCCUACGGGAGGCAGCAGUGGGGAAUUUUGGACAAUGGGCGAAAGCCUGAUCCAGCAAUGCCGCGUGUGUGAAGAAGGCCUUCGGGUUGUAAAGCACUUUUGUCCGGAAAGAAAUCCUUGGCCCUAAUACGGUCGGGGGAUGACGGUACCGGAAGAAUAAGCACCGGCUAACUACGUG